rnacentral:rRNA from 1 species
AGAGUUUGAUCAUGGCUCAGAUUGAACGCUGGCGGCAGGCCUAACACAUGCAAGUCGAACGGUAACAUUUCUAGCUUGCUAGAAGAUGACGAGUGGCGGACGGGUGAGUAAUACUUAGGAAUAUGCCUUUGUGUGGGGGAUAACCAUUGGAAACGAUGGCUAAUACCGCAUAACGUCUUCGGACCAAAGGGGGCCUUGGCUCCCGCGCAAAGAGUAGCCUAAGCGAGAUUAGCUUGUUGGUGAGGUAAAGGCUCACCAAGGCGACGAUCUCUAGCUGUUCUGAGAGGAAGAUCAGCCACACUGGAACUGAGACACGGUCCAGACUCCUACGGGAGGCAGCAGUGGGGAAUAUUGCACAAUGGGGGAAACCCUGAUGCAGCCAUGCCGCGUGUGUGAAGAAGGCCUUCGGGUUGUAAAGCACUUUCAGUUGUGAGGAAAGGUUAACGGUUAAUACCCGUUAGCUGUGACGUUAGCAACAGAAGAAGGACCGGCUAACUCCGUGCCAGCAGCCGCGGUAAUACGGAGGGUCCGAGCGUUAAUCGGAAUUACUGGGCGUAAAGCGCACGCAGGCGGUUUGUUAAGCUAGAUGUGAAAGCCCUGGGCUCAACCUGGGAAUUGCAUUUAGAACUGGCAGGCUAGAGUUUUGGAGAGGGGAGUGGAAUUCCAGGUGUAGCGGUGAAAUGCGUAGAUAUCUGGAGGAACAUCAGUGGCGAAGGCGACUCCCUGGUCAGUAACUGACGCUCAUGUGCGAAAGUGUGGGUAGCGAACAGGAUUAGAUACCCUGGUAGUCCACACCGUAAACGCUGUCUACUAGCUGUUUGUGGAUUUAAUCCGUGAGUAGCGAAGCUAACGCGAUAAGUAGACCGCCUGGGGAGUACGGCCGCAAGGUUAAAACUCAAAUGAAUUGACG